UACGGAAUGUCCGUAGCAAAAUCCGUAGCUAAGACCAAAUUUCAAAACUAAAGGUGCAGCCGCGGUUUUUCUUCUUCUCAUUUUCCCCUAAUUGCAAACCCUAGCGUUUCUCACUCUUUCGGCGCCGUUCAUCCCGUCGCCGCGGUUGCUCCGCCGUUUCCCUCAAAGUCGUCGGUGCCGCCACCGUGCUCGCUCACCGUCGCAGACGCCGGCAAUCUGGUUCUUUCAGAUAUUGGAUUAGCAGAGAAACGAGUUUAUCAUGCUGCUCUUAAUGACUUGGUCUUAACUGAUCAGAUUCAGCCCCCUUGCCUCCUCUUCACAACAUAACAGGUGGAGGUACAAGAAAUUGCUGCAGAGAUGGGCCAAUCUAAUCCUGAUACGCCCGUGGAUAUGAACAAGAUUUAUCUAGAUGUCUUGGGAGGCCCGUGGAUAUGAACAAGAUUUAUCUAGAUGUCUUGGGAGGCGGUUUAGAUAAAAAGCAAAGAUUGUUCGGCACAGGUAGUCUCGCAUUGACCUUGAAGACCAAUAUAUCGGGAGAGAGUAGUACUUCAGCUAUGUCCGACAUUGACAAAGAGCAGUAUGCCACUCGCCUAGGAGAUGUAGAGGAGCAGCUUCAAGAGGAGCGAGAAAGGACAUCUCGAUUAGAAGAACAUGUUAAAGUUGCAAUGGAGAUUAUCAAGCAGUUGCAAGAGCAAUCAAACAGUGCCACUAGCCAUCCAGAUCCACCAUCACAUGUUCCAUGAUUAUACAUGUGUUUUGAUUUUGAUAUCGACUAUCUCUAGGUGCUUGAUUUUGAAAUACUUGUUAGAUAUGUGAUUUUUAAACUAUUUUGGUUUGUGACUACUAUUUCUAGGUGUUUGGUUUUGAAAUACUUGUUAGACACGUGAUUUCUAAACUAUCUUGGUUUAUGACUUUGA